rnacentral:rRNA from 1 species
CGUACACUCCUGCGGGAGGCAGCAGUGGGGAAUAUUGCACAAUGGGCGCAAGCCUGAUGCAGCGACGCCGCGUGGGGGAUGAAGGCCUUCGGGUUGUAAACUCCUUUCGCUAGGGACGAAGCUUUUUUGUGACGGUACCUAGAUAAGAAGCACCGGCUAACUACGUGCCAGCAGCCGCGGUAAUACGUAGGGUGCGAGCGUUGUCCGGAAUUACUGGGCGUAAAGGGCUCGUAGGUGGUUUGUCGCGUCGUCUGUGAAAUUCUGGGGCUUAACUCCGGGCGUGCAGGCGAUACGGGCAUAACUUGAGUGCUGUAGGGGUAACUGGAAUUCCUGGUGUAGCGGUGAAAUGCGCAGAUAUCAGGAGGAACACCGAUGGCGAAGGCAGGUUACUGGGCAGUUACUGACGCUGAGGAGCGAAAGCAUGGGUAGCGAACAGGAUUAGAAACCCCGGUAGUCCC